rnacentral:rRNA from 1 species
AUUGAACGCUGGCGGCAGGCCUAACACAUGCAAGUCGAGCGGAUGAAGGGAGCUUGCUCCUGGAUUCAGCGGCGGACGGGUGAGUAAUGCCUAGGAAUCUGCCUGGUAGUGGGGGAUAACGUCCGGAAACGGGCGCUAAUACCGCAUACGUCCUGAGGGUGAAAGUGGGGGAUCUUCGGACCUCACGCUAUCAGAUGAGCCUAGGUCGUAUUAGCUAGUUGGUGGGGUAAAGGCCUACCAAGGCGACGAUCCGUAACUGGUCUGAGAGGAUGAUCAGUCACACUGGAACUGAGACACGGUCCAGACUCCUACGGGAGGCAGCAGUGGGGAAUAUUGGACAAUGGGCGAAAGCCUGAUCCAGCCAUGCCGCGUGUGUGAAGAAGGUCUUCGGAUUGUAAAGCACUUUAAGUUGGGAGGAAGGGAAGUAAGUUAAUACCUUGCUGUUUUGACGUUACCAACAGAAUAAGCACCGGCUAACUUCGUG